AUUGAACGCUGGCGGCAGGCCUAACACAUGCAAGUCGAACGAGUGGCGGACGGGUGAGUAAUGUCUGGGAAACUGGCUGAUGGAGGGGGAUAACUACUGGAAACGGUAGCUAAUACCGCAUACCAUCAGAUGUGCCCAGAUGGGAUUAGCUUGUUGGGGGGGUAACGGCUCACAAAGGCGACGAUCCCUAGCUGGUCGGAGAGUAUGACCAGCCACACUGGAACGGAGACACGGUCCAGACUCCUACGGGAGGAAGCAGUGGGGAAGAUUGCACAAUGGGCGAAAGCCGGAUGCAGCAAUGCCGCGUGGAUGAAGAAGGCCUUCGGGUUGUAAAGUACGUUCAGCGGGGAGGCGUUACCCGAAGAAGAAGCACCGGCUAACUCCGUGCCAGCAGCCGCGGUAAUUC
rnacentral:rRNA from 1 species